rnacentral:sRNA from 1 species
GCCCAGCAGCCGACUAAGUUGCAUUCCUUGAAUCUUCGCAGAAAAGACAAUUCUUUUAAUCAGAGUUAGUAAUGUGGACAGUACAAAAUCGAGAGAGUCUGGGGCUUCUCUCUUUCCCUGUGAUGAUUACCAUGGUCUGUUGUGCACACAGCACCAAUGAACCCAGCAACAUGUCAUACGUGAAAGAGACAGUGGACAGAUUGCUCAAAGGAUAUGACAUUCGCUUGCGGCCGGACUUCGGAGGGCCCCCCGUCGACGUUGGGAUGCGGAUCGAUGUCGCCAGCAUAGACAUGGUCUCCGAAGUGAAUAUGGUGAGUGGCCUCCCGAGGGGCCCGGCGGUUCGGCUUACGCAGAUGGGAAAUGGACCGGUCCCUUUGCCCUCUGCGUUUCAUUGGCGGUCACCUCGCCCCUGGCCCCUGAGGUCCCACUCCGCACGCGCUCCCCGCUCCGGCACACACACCCGGUCGCCCCUGGUUUGUAAUUUCGACACACACGGGCUACUGCGGUGUUCCAGGGGAAACGUGCUCGUCACUAUUUUGGGAAGGACGAGUGACUGUUGCGCCGUGGAUCUGCUGGGGCGGAGUCUGAGCGUUACUUUAGCUGGGUUUCCCUGCGUGUUUGGAUGAGGAGGGCACCAUCUGCUGGCAGCCGGGCGGCCUGCACUAGGGUCCCCGGACCGGUGGUCGGCAGCCAUCACCUCCCCAGGCGCGGUGCUGGCAAUCCCCAUGGCCCUCGCAGUCCGCGAGCCCGGAUGCACCAAGGCCCUGCCACCGAGAGCACAGUCUGGGUUUCAAAGUGUCCUCUCUCUCCAGGUUCAGGCACACCGGGUGGCAGGAGCAA